UCUAAUUAUUUAAUAAAUAGGAAACACAUGAUCUCUUUCCGAACUCAAAAGUGAAACUAUUUAAUACUUAUGGUAGCAUUUUAUGUGAGAAUAAGUUGUAAUUAGAU
rnacentral:rRNA from 1 species